rnacentral:tRNA from 1 species
ACAUCGUUAGCACAGCGGCCAAUGCAGUCUGCCGGAAACAGAAAGACGCGGGUUCAAUUCCCGUCCGAUGUC